CCUACGGGUGGCAGCAGUGAGGAAUAUUGGUCAAUGGACGAGAGUCUGAACCAGCCAAGUAGCGUGAAGGAUGACUGCCCUAUGAGUUGUAAACUUCUUUUAUAAAGGAAUAAAACGAGGCACGUGUGCCUUUUUGCAUGUACUUUAUGAAUAAGGAUCGGCUAACUCCGUGCCAGCAGCCGCGGUAAUACGGAGGAUCCGAGCGUUAUCCGUAUUUAUUUGGUUUAAAGGGAGCGUAGAUGGGUUGUUAAGUCAGUUGUGAAAGUUUGCGGCUAAACCGUAAAAUUGCAAUUGAUACUGGCAGUCUUGAGUACAGUUGAGGUAAGCGGAAUUCGUGGUGUAGCGGUGAAAUGCUUAGAUAUCACGAAGAACCCCGAUUGCGAAGGCAGCUUACUAAACUGUGACUGACAUUGAUGCUCGAAAGUGUGGGUAUCAAACAGGAUUAGAUACCCUUGUAGUC
rnacentral:rRNA from 1 species